UACGAAGGGGGCUAGCGUUGUUCGGAAUUACUGGGCGUAAAGCGUGCGCAGGCGGCUUCUCAAGUCAGGGGUGAAAGCCCAGAGCUCAACUCUGGAAUUGCCUUUGAGACUGAGUGGCUUGAGUACGGGAGAGGUGAGUGGAAUUCCCAGUGAUAGAGGUGAAAUUUCGUAGAUAUUGGGAAGAACACCGGUGGCGAAGGCGGCGUC
rnacentral:rRNA from 1 species